rnacentral:rRNA from 1 species
UACGUAGGGGGCAAGCGUUGUCCGGAUUUAUUGGGCGUAAAGAGCGUGUAGGCGGCCAUACAGGUCAGCUGUGAAAACUCGAGGCUCAACCUCGAGACGUCGGUUGAAACCGUAUGGCUAGAGUCCGGAAGAGGAGAGUGGAAUUCCCGGUGUAGCGGUGAAAUGCGCAGAUAUCAGGAGGAACACCGGUGGCGAAGGCGGGUCUCUGGGCCGAUAUUGACGCUGAGGAGCGAAAGCGUGGGGAGCAAACAGG